rnacentral:rRNA from 1 species
AUUGAACGCUGGCGGCGUGCUUAACACAUGCAAGUCGAUCGGUAACGCGGGGGCAACCCUGGCGACGAGAGGCGGACGGGUGAGGAACGCUUGGGAAACUGCCUAUCAGCGGGGGACAACACGGGGAAACUCGUGCUAAUACCGCAUACGCUCUACGGAGGAAAGCCGGGGACCGCAAGGCCUGGCCCUGAUAGAUGAGCCCAAGCCGGAUUAGCGAGUUGGCGGGGUAACGGCCCACCAAGGCGACGAUCCGUAGCUGGUCGGAGAGGACGAUCAGCCGCACUGGGACUGUGACACGGCCCAGACGCGUACGGGAGGCAGCAGUGGGGAAUCGUGGACAAUGGGGGGAACCCUGAUCCAGCGACGCCUGGUGGGUGAAGAAGGCCUGCGGGUUGUAAAGCCCUUUCGGUAGGGACGAAAGCUCUCGACCUAACACGUCGGGAGGUUGACUUAACCUACAAAAGAAGCACCGGCUAACUCUGUGCCAGCCGCCGCGGUAAUAC